rnacentral:rRNA from 1 species
UACGUAGGAUGCAAGCGUUGUCCGGAUUUAUUGGGCGUAAAGAGCGUGUAGGCGGUCAGGUAGGUCCGUUGUGAAAACUCGAGGCUCAACCUCGAGACGCCGAUGGAAACCAUCUGACUAGAGUCCGGAAGAGGAGAGUGGAAUUCCUGGUGUAGCGGUGAAAUGCGCAGAUAUCAGGAAGAACACCCGUGGCUAAGGCGGCUCUCUAGUACGGUACUGACGCUGAGACGCGAAAGCGUGGGGAGCGAACAGG